rnacentral:tRNA from 1 species
AAAGUGUUAGUUUCAUAUGAAAAUUGUAAGUUGUCAGCUUACGGAAACUAAAAUUAGUACUCUUUG